CUAUCACUCCUACGGGAGGCAGCAGUGGGGAAUAUUGCACAAUGGGCGCAAGCCUGAUGCAGCCAUGCCGCGUGUAUGAAGAAGGCCUUCGGGUUGUAAAGUACUUUCAGCAGUGAGGAAGGUAGUGUAGUUAAUAGCUGCAUUAUUUGACGUUAGCUGCAGAAGAAGCACCGGCUAACUCCGUGCCAGCAGCCGCGGUAAUACGGAGGAUCCAAGCGUUAUCCGGAAUCAUUGGGUUUAAAGGGUCCGUAGGUGGAUGAUUAAGUCAGAGGUGAAAUCCUGCAGCUCAACUGUAGAAUUGCCUUUGAUACUGGUUGUCUUGAAUUAUUGUGAAGUAGUUAGAAUAUGUGGUGUAGCGGUGAAAUGCAUAGAUAUCACAUAGAAUACCGAUUGCGAAGGCAGAUUACUAACAAUACAUUGACACUGAUGGACGAAAGCGUGGGGAGCGAACAGGAUUAGAUACCCUGGUAG
rnacentral:rRNA from 1 species